GCGGUGGAGCAUGUGGUUUAAUUCGAUGCAACGCGAAGAACCUUACCUACUCUUGACAUCCAGAGAACUUUCCAGAGAUGGAUUGGUGCCUUCGGGAACUCUGAGACAGGUGCUGCAUGGCUGUCGUCAGCUCGUGUUGUGAAAUGUUGGGUUAAGUCCCGCAACGAGCGCAACCCUUAUCCUUUGUUGCCAGCGGUCCGGCCGGGAACUCAAAGGAGACUGCCAGUGAUAAACUGGAGGAAGGUGGGGAUGACGUCAAGUCAUCAUGGCCCUUACGAGUAGGGCUACACACGUGCUACAAUGGCGCAUACAAAGAGAAGCGAACUCGCGAGAGCAAGCGGACCUCAUAAAGUGCGUCGUAGUCCGGAUUGGAGUCUGCAACUCGACUCCAUGAAGUCGGAAUCGCUAGUAAUCGUAGAUCAGAAUGCUACGGUGAAUACGUUCCCGGGCCUUGUACACACCGCCCGUCACACCAUGGGAGUGGGUUGCAAAAGAAGUAGGUAGCUUAACCUUCGGGAGGGCGCUUACCACUUUGUGGUUCAUGACUGGGGUGAAGUCGUAACAAGGUAACCGUAAGCUUCACAAUCACUAGUGAAUUC
rnacentral:rRNA from 1 species